rnacentral:rRNA from 1 species
AACGAACGCUGGCGGCAGGCCUAACACAUGCAAGUCGAACGAGAAGCUUUCCUCCGGGGAAGUGGAAAGUGGCAGACGGGUGAGUAACGCGUGGGAACGUGCCUUUCGGUUCGGAAUAACUCAGGGAAACUUGGGCUAAUACCGAAUACGCCUCCGGGGGAAAGAUUUAUCGCCGAAAGAUCGGCCCGCGUCGGAUUAGCUUGUUGGUGAGGUAAAAGCUCACCAAGGCGACGAUCCGUAGCUGGUCUGAGAGGAUGAUCAGCCACACUGGGACUGAGACACGGCCCAGACUCCUACGGGAGGCAGCAGUGGGGAAUAUUGGACAAUGGGCGCAAGCCUGAUCCAGCCAUGCCGCGUGGGUGAAGAAGGCCCUAGGGUUCGUAAACCCCUUUCAGCGGGGAAGAUAAUGACGGUACCCGCAGAAGAAGCCCCGGCUAACUCCGUG